rnacentral:rRNA from 1 species
CUUGGUCAUUUAGAGGAAGUAAAAGUCGUAACAAGGUCUCCGUUGGUGAACCAGCGGAGGGAUCAUUACAGAGUUGCAAAACUCCCAACCCUUUGUGAACGAACCUACCAGUUGCCUCGGCGGCGAGCCUUUCAGGCGGACCGCCGAAGGAAUACAAACUCUUUGCAUUAUAGUAUCUCUGAUUACUUAUUCAAUAAGUUAAAACUUUCAACAACGGAUCUCUUGGUUCUGGCAUCGAUGAAGAACGCAGCGAAAUGCGAUAAGUAAUGUGAAUUGCAGAAUUCAGUGAAUCAUCGAAUCUUUGAACGCACAUUGCGCCCGUUAGUAUUCUGGCGGGCAUGCCUGUUCGAGCGUCAUUUCAACCAUCAAGCCCUAGGCUUGUGUUGGAGCCCUGCGGCUGCCGCAGCCUCCUAAAAACAGUGGCGGGCUCGCUAUUACACCGAGUGCAGUAGUUUACUCUUCGCUCAGGGCGUGUGGCGGGUGCUGGCCGUGAAACCCCCUACUUCUUAAGGUUGACCUCGGAUCAGGUAGGAAUACCCGCUGAACUUAAGCAUAUCAAUAAGCGGAGGA